rnacentral:rRNA from 1 species
GUCUACGGCCAUAUCACCCUGAAUACGCCCGAUCUCGUCUGAUCUCGGAAGCUAAGCAGGGAUCGGGACCUGGUUAGUACUCUGGAUGGGUAGAUCGCCUGGGAAUACCCGGGUGCUGUACGGCU